rnacentral:rRNA from 1 species
AUUGAACGCUGGCGGUAGGCCUAACACAUGCAAGUCGAACGUGUGGCGGACUGGUGAGUAAUGUUUGGGAUACUGCCCCUUGGCGGGGGAUAUAUACUGGAAACCGUAGCUAAUCCCGCAUACCUUACGUUGUGCCCCGCUGCCUUUAGCUAGUAGGUGGAGUAACGGCUCACCUAGGCGACGAUCCAUAGCUGGUCUGAGAGGGUGCCCAGCCACACUGGGACUGAGACACGGUCCAGACUCCUACGGGAGGCAGCAGUGGGGAAUAUUGCACAAUGGGCGCAAGCCUGAUGCAGCCAUGCCGCGUGUAUGAAGAAGGCCUGCGGGUUGUAAAGUACUUUCAGCGAGGAGGCGUUACUCGCAGAAGAAGCACCGGCUAACUCCGUGCCAGCAGCCGCGGUAAUAC